UACAACGCUCUUGAAUAAUCCAGGUGCAAGAGCUGACACUCCUAGGUGGAGCUACACCUAAGGCCGCCGUUAAGCGGAUCCUGGAAUACGUUAUGACCGACCAGGUCGCGGAAAAAUACAGCUGGGAAGGACGUAAGGGGAAGAAUGUGUUCCGCGACCUUCGUCUACCUAACAUUAUGAUGCGUGCUGUUCACGCGCAAAAACAGCUGUCAAAGUGCACGAACUACGACCUAGAAAAGGCUACAAAGGACUGGCUUCGUCACUCAGCCGACAGACUCAAGCGGGUUGCGGAUUGAACCUUCACCAUGCCACACACAGCACGCGACACAGUGCUUUAACCUGUACUCAUUCCUUCAAAUGAAGCAUCCGCCAGCCAGCAGGUUGCACAUCAUAUUUCCAUAUGCAUUAUAUAUAUAUAUUCUGAUAUUAUGAGGUGUGUACACGAAAUAAACAAUGUCUGAGGCUUAAGAUCCGUUGUGCCAUUUAUUGAAGUAAGAAAAUUAUGUAAUUUUAAAGAAAAAUGCAUGAUUUAGCAAAGUCCUAUUUAUGUCUCAAAUCCUGUGAUUGACGUUCCAUGGAUGUUCCUGGGACAUCCGUUUUGGG